rnacentral:rRNA from 1 species
AAUAGAUACCCCGGUAGUCCACGCCGUAAACGAUGAAUGCUAGGUGUUAGGGGUUUCGAUACCCUUGGUGCCGAAGUUAACACAUUAAGCAUUCCGCCUGGGGAGUACGGCCGCAAGGCUGAAACUCAAAGGAAUUGACGGGGACCCGCACAAGCAGUGGAGUAUGUGGUUUAAUUCGAAGCAACGCGAAGAACCUUACCAGGUCUUGACAUCCCCCUGACCGGCGCAGAGAUGUGCCUUUCCUUCGGGACAGGGGAGACAGGUGGUGCAUGGUUGUCGUCAGCUCGUGUCGUGAGAUGUUGGGUUAAGUCCCGCAACGAGCGCAACCCUUGACUUUAGUUGCCAGCAAGUAAGGUUGGGCACUCUAGAGUGACUGCCGGUGACAAACCGGAGGAAGGUGGGGAUGACGUCAAAUCAUCAUGCCCCUUAUGACCUGGGCUACACACGUACUACAAUGGCCGGUACAACGGGAAGCGAAGGAGCGAUCUGGAGCGAAUCCUUUAAAGCCGGUCUCAGUUCGGAUUGCAGGCUGCAACUCG